CGGUCCAGACUCCUACGGGAGGCAGCAGUGGGGAAUAUUGCGCAAUGGGGGGAACCCUGACGCAGCAACGCCGCGUGGAGGAAGAAGGUCUUCGGAUUGUAAACUCCUGUCUUCUGGGACGAUAAUGACGGUACCAGAGGAGGAAGCCACGGCUAACUACGUGCCAGCAGCCGCGGUAAUACGUAGGUGGCGAGCGUUGUCCGGAAUUACUGGGCGUAAAGAGCGCGUAGGCGGUUUUUUAAGUCAGAUGUGAAAAUCCAGGGCUUAACUCUGGGCGUGCAUUUGAAACUGGGGAACUAGAGUGCAGGAGAGGUAAGUGGAAUUCCUAGUGUAGCGGUGAAAUGCGUAGAUAUUAGGAGGAACACCAGUGGCGAAGGCGACUUACUGGACUGUAACUGACGCUGAGGCGCGAAAGCGUGGGUAGCGAACAGGAUUAGAUACCCUGGUAGUCCACGCCGUAAACGAUGGAUACUAGGUGUGGGAGGUAUCGACCCC
rnacentral:rRNA from 1 species